GAUGAACGCUAGCUACAGGCUUAACACAUGCAAGUCGAGGGACCGGCGCACGGGUGCGUAACACGUAUCCAACCUGCCCUUUACUCGGGGAUAGCCUUUCGAAAGAAAGAUUAAUACCCGCUAUAAAGGUUGGGGAUGCGUUCCAUUUGGUUGUUGGUGAGGUAACGGCUAACCAAGCCUUCGAUGGAUAGGGGUUCUGAGAGGAAGGUCCCCAACAAUGGAACUGGGACACGGUCCAAACUCAUACGGGAGGCAGCAGGGAGGAAUUGUGGUCAAUGGGCGCUAGCCUGAACCAGCCAAGUAGCGUGAAGAAUGAAGGCUUAUGGGUCGUAAACUUCUGUUAUAUAAGAAUAUGUAUUAUAUGAAUAAGGAUCGGCUAACUCCGUGCCAGCAGCCGCGGUAAUUC
rnacentral:rRNA from 1 species